UUGAACGCUGGCGGCAUGCCUUACACAUGCAAGUCGAACGGUAGAGGAGCAAUCCUCGAGAGUGGCGAACGGGUGAGUAAUGUAUCGGAACGUGCCCAGUAGUGGGGGAUAGCCCGGCGAAAGCCGGAUUAAUACCGCAUGAUACCUGAGGGUGAAAGCGGGGGACUCGCAAGAGCCUCGCGCUACUGGAGCGGCCGAUAUCAGAUUAGGUAGUUGGUGGGGUAAAAGCCUACCAAGCCUGCGAUCUGUAGCUGGUCUGAGAGGACGACCAGCCACACUGGGACUGAGACACGGCCCAGACUCCUACGGGAGGCAGCAGUGGGGAAUUUUGGACAAUGGGCGAAAGCCUGAUCCAGCCAUGCCGCGUGCGGGAAGAAGGCCUUCGGGUUGUAAAGCUCUUUCAGCCGGGAAGAAAUCACAUGGGUUAAUACCCUGUGUGGAUGACGGUACCGGAAUAAGAAGCACCGGCUAACUACGU
rnacentral:rRNA from 1 species